rnacentral:rRNA from 1 species
AGCAGCCGCGGUAAUUCCAGCUCCAAUAGCGUAUAUUAAAGUUGUUGCAGUUAAAAAGCUCGUAGUUGAAUUUCGGGGUCAGUAGAUUGGUCGUGCCACUGGUAUGUACUGGUCUUACUGAUUCCUCCUUCUUGACGAACUGUGAUGUCAUUAAUUUGGUGUUGCAGGGAAUCAGGACUGUUACUUUGAAAAAAUUAGAGUGUUUAAAGCAAGCUAACGCUUGAAUACAUUAGCAUGGAAUAAUGAAAUAGGACGUUUAAUCCUAUUUUGUUGGUUUCUAGGAUCGACGUAAUGAUUAAUAGGGAUAGUUGGGGGCAUUAGUAUUCAAUUGUCAGAGGUGAAAUUCUUGGAUUUAUUGAAGACUAACUACUGCGAAAGCAUUUGCCAAGGAUGUUUUCAUUAAUCAGGAACGAAAGUUAGGGGAUCGAAGACGAUCAGAUACCGUCGUAGUCUUAACCAUAAACUAUGCCGACUAGGGAUCGGAUGAUGUUAAUUUUUAAUGACUCAUUCGGCGCCUUAA